GCACGGAUAGCCGAGAGGUCUAAGCGAUAAACUUUUACUACAGUGGACAGUGGUUCGAGCCCACUUUUAUUUA
rnacentral:tRNA from 1 species